CAUAUGGCGGCAGCUUGGAGAUCCGCCCGUGGCCCCCCAGAGGACGCUGGGAUGAAGGACCCGGUGUCGGUAGCCUCCGUGGCCCCCUCCUGAGAGGCAUAGUGCCGGACUGGGCCGGGCCAAGGCUGGGGGGGGGUAUAGCUGUGCGCUUCUUUGGUCCAGUCCUUCUCGGAACCUCUGGUUUACGGCGCUGCUUACGAACCGGAAUAAAUGGGCCAGGCUUGUGAAUGACUGGCGUGAUAAAAAUAGCCUGUUAAAAGGCUCUGCAGAUGAUUCAUUCACUUUUAUUGGCUUUCUUUUUUUUCCAGGCCCUAAUUUGAAGACAUUAUGCAAAAUAGCCGUUAUUCAGUACAGCCUCGAUCAGUCGGCUCUGCCACAUGACAUCCGGUGGGAGCUGACGGCCAUGACCACCAACAGCAACAUCAGCAGACCCAUCUUCUCGUCCCACGGCUGAGCGGCCCGACCCGACCCGCACCUCAGGUUCUGGCAGGACGAGGCCCGUCUGCGUGCCGCAUGGAGCUUGUCCCUUUUUUAUUUUUAUUCUUAGAUUUUUUUUUGUUCACUUCACAUCCGCUGUUUCUAGUUUGCGGGUCUUUGGGAUCAGUAGGGUGUUGCAGAACCCUUCAGUAUUUCCUGUCCCCCUUCAGAGAACACCGGGCUUGGGAUGUAGGUGGACGUGCUUCAUGUCGUUCUGUUCCUCAUUCUCACACACGCCUGCAGAUGUCUUUGGAUGAAGUAGCCAGUGGAUGUUUUAUUUAAUUUUUUUUUUAAAAGCAGCAAGGUGUGUUUUGAAUGGCCAGGUAUGAGUUCAUCAGGCAGCGCACAGAAAACACCACCCUCUUCCUGUCCAGUAGCUGUACACGUUCCACCGCACCGUGAUUUUCCAUUUCUGGAGGCUGCUGCCCUCAGCGAGACGUUCUUCCAAACUGUGUUACCCUUGUGCGCCGUCUGCAGCACCGGGAUACAGACGCUACUCCGUCCUCCGCAGAGGGGGAGUGCCGAACGUGAGACUGGUACCGUCCAGCUGUUGCUUCUGGAGCCUGAGCCUUUGUCUCCGAACCUGUUACCUCUACCAGGACGCGGUAGCCACCGGUGAGCAGGAGGGGACCCCCCCCCCCCCCCCUUUGAAUUGGACGUGGAGACCUUGCACCGCGUCUUCCUGCAAGACAGCAGGUGCCACAGGAUCCUGGCUCCGCCCCCCUUACCUCCCGAAGCCGAAGACCCUCAUAUGGAGGCAGAGUCAUGCGAGCGCGCCAUGACAACCUGCCGCCAUGACAACCUGCCGCCAUGACAACCUGCCGCCAUGACAACCUGCCGCCAUGUCAACCUGCCGCCGCUGCCUUUGAAGGCGCCGGGUGGCCAUGUCUAUCACCCGCCUCGUUUUCCUGCUUCAUUGCGGCAAAUCGUGUUUUGGUUCUGCGGUUACCGUGGCGACCUUCUCCUGUGCUGGUGUUCUUUCUUGUCUGCUUAUUAUUUAAUUUUCUUUUUCCCCGCGACCCAUGGUCUGGCAUGUAUUGACUCAAACCAUGGUCCGCACUUCACAUGUAAAUCCAUUUAUUUUGCCUUUGUAUCCCCCCCCCUCCCACUUAGACAGACUGUAUUCUCUGUCCAAACAAAAGUGAUUUGCGAUUAAUCUCCUGCUCUGAUUUCGAUCUUGGAAACACAUUUCAGCCAAACACAUGAGGCAGGUCCAGCAUCAGGAGGAUGAGGACUGGCUGCACACCACUGAGUCCUCGGGUGAGCAUGCCAUGAACCCGGAGACCCACGUUUCUCAACGAUUUGCUCCCUAGUAGUGGCGCCCCCUACAGACCAUAGUGUCCCACCGCGAUGGACCGGCCGCCCGGGCCAGGUGGAUUGGGCAGCAGGAACAUCGAGUAACCCUUCCUCCUAAGAAUGAGCGGAGCGUUUGGACCCCGCUCAAGUCGUCCAGGCGGUUGGCAUGCUGUUUUUUUCUUUUCUUUUUUUUUUUAAUUUAAUCCCCCUCUCCUCCCCAUUUUAAUCCUUAUCCCCUGAAAUUUGUAGUGUGUGUUUUGUACCUCUGUGAGUAUGUUAACCAACUGGUGCUCGGCAACUUCGAAACAUUUUUGUUCAGGAAAAUGUGUGGGGUGAAUUUGUUAAAGAUUUAUUGUCAUAUGUGAAUUUAGUAAUGACUCUUUAACCACAGACAGGCAUUAACAGUACUUGGGCAGGAAGUGGGCGGUAUUCUGUAGUCCCACAGGGUCUCGGUGUGCGGUCACAGGCUUUUUGCUCUACAUUUAUAUAAUAAAAAUGAGAUAUGCCCCACCAAGAUUGAAUAAAACUUUUAUUGUGCAAUAUGCUCUUGAAAUUGUGUCAAUAAAAUGGAUGCGGUUUUAUUUGCA